rnacentral:lncRNA from 1 species
CAGAAAACAAGUGCUGCUGGUCUCCUACCUCCAUUUGAUAAGCUGGAGUGCAAUGGCAUAGUCAUGUCUCACUGCAACCUUGCUCUCCCAGGUUCAAGAGAUUCUUCCACCUCAGCCUCCCAAGUAGCUGGGACUACAGGGUAGACAUUGUUGAAGGAUACCUCAAAGUACCCAGAAGGACAGGAGGAAUUGCAGAACCUCAGGCUGGAGGGUAUCCCUCAAAACGAGCAAGACACAGGUGAGCCAGAAGGUGGAACUGGAUAAAACUUAUAAAUAAGAUCUGUGGGUUUCUCAGAGGUUGAAAUUUAAUAAAAGAUAGUAUAAUAGAGCAGUUCAGAAUACAAACUUAGAAGGGAAUGCUUUUACACUGUUGGUGGGAAGGAACCUUGGUACAACCUUUAUUGAAAACAGUAUGGGAUUUCUCAAAGAACUGAAAAUAGAACUACUAUCCCACCCAGCAAUCCCACUACAGGAUAG